rfam:Zootermopsis nevadensis contig23688, whole genome shotgun sequence.
GCCACGGUGGUCUAGCGGUCAGAACACUAGCCUUGUAAGCCUGGAGUCCCGGGUUCAAUUCCCGGUGGUGUUC